ensembl:snRNA U6 U6 spliceosomal RNA
GUGCUUCUUUUUACUGCACCUAUGCUGAGAUUGGAAUGAUACAGAGUCAACUAGCCUGGCCCCUGUGCAAGGAUGCCACUCAAAUUUGCUAAGUGUUCCAUAUUGUU